UAUUUCUCCGAUUUUCCAACCACCAACUGCUGAAGGCAAAUUUUCCCAUGCUGCUUUUCCAUUCGCUGAAAUAAAGAAUUUAGUACUGUGGGAAGAACCUGCAACGAUAGAGAGGUCAAGUUCGUGUUCUCAGUUAUCAAAUAUUGGAAUUUCAGACAUCGCUUGUUUUGUACUUUCACUCGUGGGCUGUAACGAAAAUUUGUAGAAGAUAUUAAUAUGAAGAAAUAAAUGAAGCCAGAAACAGCGGAAGCUACCAGAAAGUGCUUUUUUCCAAAAACCCAAAGAAAAAACUCAAUGUUGUUUAUCAA